rnacentral:rRNA from 1 species
UACGUAGGGUGCAAGCGUUGUCCGGAAUUAUUGGGCGUAAAGAGCUUGUAGGCGGUAUGUCGCGUCUGCUGUGAAAUUUCGGGGCUCAACCCCGAACUUGCAGUGGGUACGGGCAGACUAGAGUGUGGUAGGGGAGACUGGAAUUCCUGGUGUAGCGGUGAAAUGCGCAGAUAUCAGGAGGAACACCGAUGGCGAAGGCAGGUCUCUGGGCCAUAACUGACGCUGAGAAGCGAAAGCAUGGGGAGCGAACAGG